GGCUCAGUUGGUAGAGCAUGGUGCUUGUAACGCCAGAGUUGUGGGUUCGAUUCCCAC
rnacentral:tRNA from 1 species